UACGUAGGGUGCAAGCGUUGUCCGGAUUUAUUGGGCGUAAAGCGCGUGCAGGCGGCCUUGCAAGUCGGACGUGAAAUCCCACGGCUCAACCGUGGAAGUGCAUUCGGAACUGCGAGGCUAGAGUCCUGGAGAGGAAAGUGGAAUACUCGGUGUAGAGGUGAAAUUCGUAGAUAUCGAGUGGAACACCGGUGGCGAAGGCGGCCCCCUGGACCGGUACUGACGCUGAGGCGCGAAAGCGUGGGUAGCAAACGGG
rnacentral:rRNA from 1 species